UACGUAGGCAGCAAGCGUUGUUCGGAAUUACUGGGCGUAAAGCGUGUGUAGGCGGUGCUCUAAGUUCGGUGUGAAAUCUCCCGGCUUAACUGGGAGGGUGCGCCGGAAACUGGAGUGCUUGAGCGCGGGAGAGGAAAGCGGAAUUCCUGGUGUAGCGGUGAAAUGCGUAGAUAUCAGGAGGAACACCUGUGGUGUAGACGGCUUUCUGGACCGUAGCUGACGCUGAGACACGAAAGCGUGGGUAGCAAACAGG
rnacentral:rRNA from 1 species